AUCGUUCGCUAGGGGAGUUGGUAACUGAGAGUCCGUUUUCGGACGACCCUUUGAACCUGAUCCGGGUAAUGCCGGCGGAGGGAAGCGCAGAUCAUAGCGG
rnacentral:ncRNA from 1 species